CAAACUAUUUUUCUUCUGACUUUGCGUCCCUCGUUGCCUUCAGUGUGCUGAGAGCAGAGAAAUGAUUUCCAUAGAGAGGAGGCUUUGCAUCAUCAGCUGAUCCUCCAGAGAACUGAGAAGGUUUAUAGUCCUGUGACUUCAACACUGCAGGACUCACAUCUGUCAGUCAACACAGCAGAAAGCACAACCACCAUGACUCUCAUCACCAUCCUCAUCUGGACGCUGACCUGCUGCUGUUUUACAGGAUGCAGCGGUCAGGUGACUGUGACUCAACCUCCAGUAGUGACAUCUACUCCUGGAUCUACUGUCACCCUGACCUGUAGGACCAACCAAGCUGUUGGUGGCUGUGGUGCUGGUCAGUGUAUGUUCUGGUAUCAACAGAAAUCUGGACAAAUUCCAAAGCUCCUAAUUCGACAUGUAAGCAUAAGUCAUUCAGGAACACCAUCUCGAUUUAGUGGCAGUGGAAGCAGAUCUGACUUCUCUAUGACCAUCAGUGGAGUUCAGGCUGAAGAUGCAGCAGUUUACUACUGUAAGAGUGUGCAUAGCGGGCCAGUGUUCACACAAUGAUUUGUAGUCAUACAAAAACCUCCUUUAGUCAGACUGCAGAGACUCUGAGCUGUGACUGCAGCUGCUGAAGUAGGAGAGACUCUGACACAGACCAGUGAACACAGAGCAGUAACCUCACCAAGCACUAAAUAAAGAAAUUAAUUUAAACACGUCAUGUCUAUUGAGGCAUUUCGAAAUAAGAAUUUUAAAAACAUCUGCUGUGAUCAAGUCAUUUUCUGUUAACAUUACAUUACUUGAAUAAUUACAUUACAUUCACAUGAAGAGUUUUGCUGUUUGUAUAAACAGGUGAAGCAUAAAUGUUUAUAUUUAUAUUUGUAUUAAGCUACUUGGUAAUGAUAAAAAAAACAAUCUGUUUUAAGAUUUUUAUCAUUGUAUGUUGCCACCUGUAUAAUGAAUAAAAAACACUGAUUUUCUCUUGAUCAUUGUCAAAAUAAUGAAUCUACAGUUGGGAUUUUUUUUAUUUCAACAAAUUUAUAUCUGAAAGACCAAAGAUAAUCUUAUUCAUCAUUAAAAGCUGUAUUUGCAGUAAUAAUCAUACUAUUACCAUUUAACAACAUCCAUACCCACCAGCUAAGUUACAUAUCACCCUCUAAGUUGAUGUUGCCAACUCUGUACAGCAGUGCUGUUUGUUCCAACCUUACAACUCAUAUUGCUAAGAGUAGCAGGUUGCUUAUCUCACACUCAACUCCUGUCUUGACGGUUUAUCAUCACUGGGGGAGCAAAGAGCCCUGCUGGAGGUGAGAGCAGAGACAAAUGAGGACUUUGUUAGUUCAGCUUAGAAUAAACACUGAAAAUUGAUCUGAGGUUUGUCCACCUCUCUCCAAAACGUUCAAAUUUCAUUUGCAUUUUUCUCAUGGUUUUUUUUGUUACUUAAGUGCUUUUGUAGAAGAGCGGAUUUGAAGGUAUAAAAUGUCUCUAAUCUAUUUCUGCUCAUCUUUAAAAUGAAAUGCAGCAUUGCUGAGUCACAGAGAGCUGCUUGGAGGAGGAGAGAGCAGAGACACAUGAGGAGCCUGUUGUGUCAGUUUAGAGUAAAAACAGGAAACAAG